rnacentral:rRNA from 1 species
GACGAACCGAGCGAACGUUGUUCGGAAUCACUGGGCUUAAAGGGCGCGUAGGCGGGCGGCCAAGUCGAGGGUGAAAGCCCCCAGCUCAACUGGGGAAGUGCCUCCGAUACUGGCCGUCUCGAGGGGGAUAGGGGCGUGCGGAACUUCCGGUGGAGCGGUGAAAUGCGUAGAUAUCGGAAGGAACAUCGGUGGCGAAAGCGGCGCGCUGGAUCCCUUCUGACGCUGAGGCGCGAAAGCCAGGGGAGCGAACGGG